rnacentral:rRNA from 1 species
GACGAACGCUGGCGGCGUGCUUAACACAUGCAAGUCGAGCGGUAAGGCCCUUUCGGGGGUACGACGAGCGGCGAACGGGUGAGUAACACGUGGGUGACCUGCCCUCAGCUCUGGGAUAAGCCUGGGAAACCGGGUCUAAUACUGGAUAUGACUCCAUGACGCAUGUUGUGGGGUGGAAAGCCUUGUGCGGCUGAGGAUGGGCCCGCGGCCUAUCAGCUUGUUGGUGGGGUGANGGCCUACCAAGGCGACGACGGGUAGCCGGCCUGAGAGGGCGACCGGCCACACUGGGACUGAGACACGGCCCAGACUCCUACGGGAGGCAGCAGUGGGAAUCUUGCGCAAUGGGCGAAAGCCUGACGCAGCGACGCCGCGUGA